rnacentral:rRNA from 1 species
GUAACACGUUGGCCCAACCUACCCUAUGGACGAAGAAUACUCCUCGGGAAACUGAGGCUAAUUCUCGAUACAGCUUCCAUGCUGGAAUGCAGGAAGCUGGAAAUGCUCCGGCGCCAUAGGAUGUGGCUGCGGCCGAUUAGGUAGACGGUGGGGUAACGGCCCACCGUGCCAGUAAUCGGUACGGGUGAUGAGAGUCAGAGCCCGGAGACGGUAUCUGAGACAAGAUGCCGGGCCCUACGGGGCGCAGCAGGCGCGAAACCUUUACACUGCACGACAGUGCGAUAAGGAGACUCCGAGUGCGAGGGCAUACAGUCCUCGCUUUUCUGUACCGUAGGGUGGUACAGGAACAAGUGCUGGGCAAGACCGGUGCCAGCCGCCGCGGUAAUACCGGCAGCACAAGUGACGGCCGAUAUUAUUGGGCCUAAAGCGUUCGUAGCUGGCCAGUCAAGUCUGUUGGGAAAUCCACGUGCCCAACACGUGGGCGUCCAGCGGAAACUGACUGGCUUGGGGCCGGAAGACUCGAGGGGUACGUCCGGGGUAGGAGUGAAAUCCCGUAAUCCUGGACGGACCACCGGUGGCGAAAGCGCCUCGAGAAGACGGACCCGACAGUGAGGAACGAAAGCCAGGGUCUCGAACCGGAUUAGAUACCCGGGUAGUCCUGGCCGUAAACGAUGCUCGCUAGGUGGUGACGCAGGCUACGAGCCUGCGUUGUGCCGUAGGGAAGCCGUGAAGCGAG